rnacentral:rRNA from 1 species
AUGUCCGCGCACCUCUUCUUUCGGUGCAGGUUCACCUUGCGCGUGUGGAGAUUGGUAAAGGAGUGGCUUGGCCUAGGGGCUCUCGAGAUCCAUCAAUGGCAGGUGGAGCGCAAUGUCAAACAUUGGUGGACAAACAUGUCGAAGCCCAAUACGGCGAACCGGAAGGCCAUGGCUUCCCUUACUAUGCUUGUUGGUUGGGCCAUUUGGAACGAGAGAAACGCUAGAGUUUUUAGGAAGAAAUCAACGCCGCCCUUCUACAUUCUAAAACUAAUCCAAGAUGAAGCCAAACUUUAGGUCACGGCAGGAGCUACACACCUGAGCAUGAUCAUGCCGCGAGAGUAG